rnacentral:rRNA from 1 species
UACGUAGGGUGCAAGCGUUAAUCGGAAUUACUGGGCGUAAAGCGUGCGCAGGCGGUUUUGUAAGGAUGACGUGAAAUCCCCGGGCUCAACCUGGGAAUUGCGUUGGAGACUGCAAGGCUGGAGUCUGGCAGAGGGGGGUAGAAUUCCACGUGUAGCAGUGAAAUGCGUAGAGAUGUGGAGGAACACCGAUGGCGAAGGCAGCCCCCUGGGCCUGCACUGACGCUCAUGCACGAAAGCGUGGGGAGCAAACAGG